rnacentral:rRNA from 1 species
UACGUAGGGUGCGAGCGUUGUCCGGAAUUAUUGGGCGGAAAGGGCUCGUAGGCGGUCUGUUGCGUCGGGAGUGAAAACUCAGGGCUUAACCCUGAGCCUGCUUCCGAUACGGGCAGACUAGAGGUAUGCAGGGGAGAACGGAAUUCCUGGUGUAGCGGUGAAAUGCGCAGAUAUCAGGAGGAACACCGGUGGCGAAGGCGGUUCUCUGGGCAUUACCUGACGCUGAGGAGCGAAAGCGUGGGGAGCAAACAGG